GACGAGGUGGCCGAGUGGUUAAGGCGAUGGACUACUAAUCCAUUGUGCUCUGCACGUGAGGGUUCGAAUCCCAUCCUCCUCG
rfam:Danio rerio chromosome 4, GRCz11 reference primary assembly.